GCCUCGGUGGUUCAGGUUGUAGAGCACGCGUUCCCGGCACGGAUGAAACGCGGGUUCGAUUCUCGCCUGAGGCC